rnacentral:SRP_RNA from 1 species
CCGUGCUAGACGGGGAAUUAGCGGUGCCCUGUAACCUGCAAUCCGCUAUAGCAGGAUCGAUGCCGACGCCAGGCUAUUGCUGCCUUGUUCGGAAGAAUUAAGUGAUGUUGAAGUUUCGACCUGUUGCAAUGAAUAAAUGAUGAACCCCGUCAGGCCCGGAAGGGAGUAGCGGUAAGUUGUGAUAUUCAUGUGCCGACAGAUUUCCGGAAUGGAGUUGGCUGAUUUUUAUCGAAUGGGGAACAGGAUGGUCAAACGCCGGUGCACGG